GGACACUUGUUUCAAAAACAACUCCAGUCACCACGCCGAGCCGGAUUGUGACGGUGAUUACUAGGCAUACCAAACAGUCAUGCGCCAGUCUUCACCUUCUACAUCAGCAGUAACAGGUGUAGAAAUACAAGGGCGAAUAAAGAAAUAGAAUAUAUGCUGCGUUUGGGGCUGCAACCGUCUCUAAAAUUCCGCAUAGCAGACAUAUACAGGCACAGUUUCGGUAACAGAAAGCGUUUGGGCUCCUAAAGGAUUUAAUGAUGACACGAGGAAGGAAUGGCUGAAUAGUUUUCAUGCAACUCCCACAUUCUUGAGAGCAAAAGACUGAAAGCGGCAGAGAAGUGAACGUAUUCGAUAAAGUGUGGGAAAAUCUACUAACCUGGAUCGUUUGCCGGUUAUACACUUUUACGACGUGAAAGUUAAAACUGUAAAUUCCUUUCCGUGGCGCUAUGAAGGUGCUCCUCUCCGAGUCAAAAUUAGAACCCACAUUCACUAGUAUCUGAAAUCAGACAGAAACUGUGUCAGCAAACCCGGGCGGUUUAGUCAACUACCUAAAACAAAACGGAAUGUUUAAGAGUAGCGCGAAUGAAGGGAGAAUGGGACAGAGCUCACAAGAUUACGAAGUUGUGAGAACCAUAAGAAUCAGCGUCUUCAGUUGUCUCAGACAUCGAUUUAGUUAAAUUCCAUCUACAUGAUUAACUUCUUUCUAUUUGUAAAGACAUUUUGUUGUAAUUUCUAUUUUCUCACAUUUAAGUGCGCUGCAUUCCCGUUUCCCCUUCAGUGGUCCUCUGGUUAUAUGUGUGUCCCUUGGAGAGACCAGCCCCUGUCCCUUAACCCGCUUCAUCUUCUUUGCGGCUUUGUUUUUUUUUUCCCCGGACGCAUCAUUUCGUUCGUAUUUUCCCAUCCCGCUGUCCCUCCCAUGCAAUCUGAAAAUAUGUACCGCAACUUUCCUCCAACUCUGACUUCUCAUUCCCCAUUCUGCUUGCUAUAUUGCACCACGGAGCCGAGUUCUGAGCCUGGACAUGGUCAAGCAGCUACAGUACCUAAGAACUGACCUUGGGGGAUACAGCAUGU